AUUAGGAAUCUUGCACAAUGGGCGAAAGCCUGAUGCAGCGACGUCGCGUGGGGGACGAAAUCUUUCGGGAUGUAAACCCCUUUUACCGGGGAAGAAGAAAAUGACGGUACCCGGUGAAUAAGCCCCGGCUAACUACGUGCCAGCAGCCGCGGUAAUACGUAGGGGGCCAGCGUUGUCCGAAGUUACUGGGCGUAAAGAGCGCGUAGGCGGGCCUCUAAGUGGGGGGUGAAAGGUCGGGGCUCAACCCCGACACUGCCUCCCAUACUGGGGGCCUUGAGUGCGGGAGAGGCGAGUGGAAUGGUCGGUGUAGCGGUGAAAUGCGUAGAUAUCGAUCGGAACACCCAUGGCGAAGGCAGCUCGCUGGCCUGCAACUGACGCUGAGGCGCGAAAGCCGGGGGAGCGAACAG
rnacentral:rRNA from 1 species